GACGAACGCUGGCGGCGUGCCUAAUACAUGCAAGUAGAACGCUGAAGGAGGAGCUUGCUUCUCCGGAUGAGUUGCGAACGGGUGAGUAACGCGUAGGUAACCUGCCUGGUAGCGGGGGAUAACUAUUGGAAACGAUAGCUAAUACCGCAUAACAGUAGGUGUUGCAUGACAUUUGCUUAAAAGGUGCAAUUGCAUCACUACCAGAUGGACCUGCGUUGUAUUAGCUAGUUGGUGAGGUAACGGCUCACCAAGGCGACGAUACAUAGCCGACCUGAGAGGGGUGUCGGCCACACCGGGGACGGGGCACGGGCCAGGACUCCAAGGGGAGGCGCCGGAGGGAAUACUUCGGAAAGGGCGGGAGUCUGACCGAGCAACGCCGCGUGAGUGAAGAAGGUUUUCGGAUCGUAAAGCUCUGUUGUAAGAGAAGAACGAGUGUGAGAGUGGAAAGUUCACACUGUGACGGUAUCUUACCAGAAAGGGACGGCUAACUACGUG
rnacentral:rRNA from 1 species